GGUUAAGCGACUAAGCGUACACGGUGGAUGCCCUGGCAGUCAGAGGCGAUGAAGGACGUGCUAAUCUGCGAUAAGCGUCGGUAAGGUGAUAUGAACCGUUAUAACCGGCGAUUUCCGAAUGGGGAAACCCAGUGUGAUUCGUCACACUAUCAUUAACUGAAUCCAUAGGUUAAUGAGGCGAACCGGGGGAACUGAAACAUCUAAGUACCCCGAGGAAAAGAAAUCAACCGAGAUUCCCCCAGUAGCGGCGAGCGAACGGGGAGCAGCCCAGAGCCUGAAUCAGUGUGUGUGUUAGUGGAAGCGUCUGGAAAGGCGCGCGAUACAGGGUGACAGCCCCGUACACAAAAAUGCACAUGCUGUGAGCUCGAUGAGUAGGGCGGGACACGUGGUAUCCUGUCUGAAUAUGGGGGGACCAUCCUCCAAGGCUAAAUACUCCUGACUGACCGAUAGUGAACCAGUACCGUGAGGGAAAGGCGAAAAGAACCCCGGCGAGGGGAGUGAAAAAGAACCUGAAACCGUGUACGUACAAGCAGUGGGAGCACGCUUAGGCGUGUGACUGCGUACCUUUUGUAUAAUGGGUCAGCGACUUAUAUUCUGUAGCAAGGUUAACCGAAUAGGGGAGCCGAAGGGAAACCGAGUCUUAACUGGGCGUUAAGUUGCAGGGUAUAGACCCGAAACCCGGUGAUCUAGCCAUGGGCAGGUUGAAGGUUGGGUAACACUAACUGGAGGACCGAACCGACUAAUGUUGAAAAAUUAGCGGAUGACUUGUGGCUGGGGGUGAAAGGCCAAUCAAACCGGGAGAUAGCUGGUUCUCCCCGAAAGCUAUUUAGGUAGCGCCUCGUGAAUUCAUCUCCGGGGGUAGAGCACUGUUUCGGCAAGGGGGUCAUCCCGACUUACCAACCCGAUGCAAACUGCGAAUACCGGAGAAUGUUAUCACGGGAGACACACGGCGGGUGCUAACGUCCGUCGUGAAGAGGGAAACAACCCAGACCGCCAGCUAAGGUCCCAAAGUCAUGGUUAAGUGGGAAACGAUGUGGGAAGGCCCAGACAGCCAGGAUGUUGGCUUAGAAGCAGCCAUCAUUUAAAGAAAGCGUAAUAGCUCACUGGUCGAGUCGGCCUGCGCGGAAGAUGUAACGGGGCUAAACCAUGCACCGAAGCUGCGGCAGCGACGCUGAUGCGUUGUUGGGUAGGGGAGCGUUCUGUAAGCCUGUGAAGGUGUGCUGUGAGGCAUGCUGGAGGUAUCAGAAGUGCGAAUGCUGACAUAAGUAACGAUAAAGCGGGUGAAAAGCCCGCUCGCCGGAAGACCAAGGGUUCCUGUCCAACGUUAAUCGGGGCAGGGUGAGUCGACCCCUAAGGCGAGGCCGAAAGGCGUAGUCGAUGGGAAACAGGUUAAUAUUCCUGUACUUGGUGUUACUGCGAAGGGGGGACGGAGAAGGCUAUGUUGGCCGGGCGACGGUUGUCCCGGUUUAAGCGUGUAGGCUGGUUUUCCAGGCAAAUCCGGAAAAUCAAGGCUGAGGCGUGAUGACGAGGCACUACGGUGCUGAAGCAACAAAUGCCCUGCUUCCAGGAAAAGCCUCUAAGCAUCAGGUAACAUCAAAUCGUACCCCAAACCGACACAGGUGGUCAGGUAGAGAAUACCAAGGCGCUUGAGAGAACUCGGGUGAAGGAACUAGGCAAAAUGGUGCCGUAACUUCGGGAGAAGGCACGCUGAUAUGUAGGUGAAGUCCCUCGCGGAUGGAGCUGAAAUCAGUCGAAGAUACCAGCUGGCUGCAACUGUUUAUUAAAAACACAGCACUGUGCAAACACGAAAGUGGACGUAUACGGUGUGACGCCUGCCCGGUGCCGGAAGGUUAAUUGAUGGGGUCAGCGCAAGCGAAGCUCUUGAUCGAAGCCCCGGUAAACGGCGGCCGUAACUAUAACGGUCCUAAGGUAGCGAAAUUCCUUGUCGGGUAAGUUCCGACCUGCACGAAUGGCGUAAUGAUGGCCAGGCUGUCUCCACCCGAGACUCAGUGAAAUUGAACUCGCUGUGAAGAUGCAGUGUACCCGCGGCAAGACGGAAAGACCCCGUGAACCUUUACUAUAGCUUGACACUGAACAUUGAGCCUUGAUGUGUAGGAUAGGUGGGAGGCUUAGAAGUGUGGACGCCAGUCUGCAUGGAGCCGACCUUGAAAUACCACCCUUUAAUGUUUGAUGUUCUAACGUUGACCCGUAAUCCGGGUUGCGGACAGUGUCUGGUGGGUAGUUUGACUGGGGCGGUCUCCUCCUAAAGAGUAACGGAGGAGCACGAAGGUUGGCUAAUCCUGGUCGGACAUCAGGAGGUUAGUGCAAUGGCAUAAGCCAGCUUGACUGCGAGCGUGACGGCGCGAGCAGGUGCGAAAGCAGGUCAUAGUGAUCCGGUGGUUCUGAAUGGAAGGGCCAUCGCUCAACGGAUAAAAGGUACUCCGGGGAUAACAGGCUGAUACCGCCCAAGAGUUCAUAUCGACGGCGGUGUUUGGCACCUCGAUGUCGGCUCAUCACAUCCUGGGGCUGAAGUAGGUCCCAAGGGUAUGGCUGUUCGCCAUUUAAAGUGGUACGCGAGCUGGGUUUAGAACGUCGUGAGACAGUUCGGUCCCUAUCUGCCGUGGGCGCUGGAGAACUGAGGGGGGCUGCUCCUAGUACGAGAGGACCGGAGUGGACGCAUCACUGGUGUUCGGGUUGUCAUGCCAAUGGCACUGCCCGGUAGCUAAAUGCGGAAGAGAUAAGUGCUGAAAGCAUCUAAGCACGAAACUUGCCCCGAGAUGAGUUCUCCCUGACUCCUUGAGAGUCCUGAAGGAACGUUGAAGACGACGACGUUGAUAGGCCGGGUGUGUAAGCGCAGCGAUGCGUUGAGCUAACCGGUACUAAUGAACCGUGAGGCUUAACCUU
rnacentral:rRNA from 1 species